rnacentral:rRNA from 1 species
CCUACGGGUGGCAGCAGUGGGGAAUAUUGGACAAUGGGGGGAACCCUGAUCCAGCGACGCCGCGUGAGUGAAGAAGUAUUUCGGUAUGUAAAGCUCUAUCAUCAGGGAAGAAAAUGACGGUACCUGACUAAGAAGCCCCGGCUAACUACGUGCCAGCAGCCGCGGUAAUACGUAGGGGGCAAGCGUUAUCCGGAUUUACUGGGUGUAAAGGGAGCGUAGACGGCAGCACAAGUCUGGAGUGAAAUGCCGGGGCUUAACCCCGGAACUGCUUUGGAAACUGUGCAGCUAGAGUGCAGGAGAGGUAAGUGGAAUUCCUAGUGUAGCGGUGAAAUGCGUAGAUAUUAGGAAGAACACCAGUGGCGAAGGCGGAUUACUGGACGAUAACUGACGGUGAGGCGCGAAAGCGUGGGGAGCAAACAGGAUUAGAUACCCUUGUAGUC